GGGUUGUGAGGUUAAGCGACUAAGCGUACACGGUGGAUGCCCUGGCAGUCAGAGGCGAUGAAGGACGUGCUAAUCUGCGAUAAGCGUCGGUGAGGUGAUAUGAACCGUUAUAACCGGCGAUUUCCGAAUGGGGAAACCCAGUGUGUUUCGACACACUAUCAUUAACUGAAUCCAUAGGUUAAUGAGGCGAACCGGGGGAACUGAAACAUCUAAGUACCCCGAGGAAAAGAAAUCAACCGAGAUUCCCCCAGUAGCGGCGAGCGAACGGGGAGGAGCCCAGAGCCUGAAUCAGUGUGUGUGUUAGUGGAAGCGUCUGGAAAGGCGUGCGAUACAGGGUGACAGCCCCGUACACAAAAAUGCACAUAUUGUGAGCUCGAUGAGUAGGGCGGGACACGUGGUAUCCUGUCUGAAUAUGGGGGGACCAUCCUCCAAGGCUAAAUACUCCUGACUGACCGAUAGUGAACCAGUACCGUGAGGGAAAGGCGAAAAGAACCCCGGCGAGGGGAGUGAAAAAGAACCUGAAACCGUGUACGUACAAGCAGUGGGAGCCUCUUAAUGGGGUGACUGCGUACCUUUUGUAUAAUGGGUCAGCGACUUAUAUUCUGUAGCAAGGUUAACCGAAUAGGGGAGCCGAAGGGAAACCGAGUCUUAACUGGGCGUUAAGUUGCAGGGUAUAGACCCGAAACCCGGUGAUCUAGCCAUGGGCAGGUUGAAGGUUGGGUAACACUAACUGGAGGACCGAACCGACUAAUGUUGAAAAAUUAGCGGAUGACUUGUGGCUGGGGGUGAAAGGCCAAUCAAACCGGGAGAUAGCUGGUUCUCCCCGAAAGCUAUUUAGGUAGCGCCUCGUGAAUUCAUCUCCGGGGGUAGAGCACUGUUUCGGCAAGGGGGUCAUCCCGACUUACCAACCCGAUGCAAACUGCGAAUACCGGAGAAUGUUAUCACGGGAGACACACGGCGGGUGCUAACGUCCGUCGUGAAGAGGGAAACAACCCAGACCGCCAGCUAAGGUCCCAAAGUCAUGGUUAAGUGGGAAACGAUGUGGGAAGGCCCAGACAGCCAGGAUGUUGGCUUAGAAGCAGCCAUCAUUUAAAGAAAGCGUAAUAGCUCACUGGUCGAGUCGGCCUGCGCGGAAGAUGUAACGGGGCUAAACCAUGCACCGAAGCUGCGGCAGCGACACUAUGUGUUGUUGGGUAGGGGAGCGUUCUGUAAGCCUGUGAAGGUGGCCUGUGAGGGUUGCUGGAGGUAUCAGAAGUGCGAAUGCUGACAUAAGUAAACGAUAAAGCGGGUGAAAAGCCCGCUCGCCGGAAGACCAAGGGUUCCUGUCCAACGUUAAUCGGGGCAGGGUGAGUCGACCCCUAAGGCGAGGCCGAAAGGCGUAGUCGAUGGGAAACAGGUUAAUAUUCCUGUACUUGGUGUUACUGCGAAGGGGGGACGGAGAAGGCUAUGUUGGCCGGGCGACGGUUGUCCCGGUUUAAGCGUGUAGGCUGGUUUUCCAGGCAAAUCCGGAAAACCAAGGCUGAGGCGUGAUGACGAGGCACUACGGUGCUGAAGCGACAAAUGCCCUGCUUCCAGGAAAAGCCUCUAAGCAUCAGGUAACAUCAAAUCGUACCCCAAACCGACACAGGUGGUCAGGUAGAGAAUACCAAGGCGCUUGAGAGAACUCGGGUGAAGGAACUAGGCAAAAUGGUGCCGUAACUUCGGGAGAAGGCACGCUGAUAUGUAGGUGAAGCGACUUGCUCGUGGAGCUGAAAUCAGUCGAAGAUACCAGCUGGCUGCAACUGUUUAUUAAAAACACAGCACUGUGCAAACACGAAAGUGGACGUAUACGGUGUGACGCCUGCCCGGUGCCGGAAGGUUAAUUGAUGGGGUUAGCGGCAACGCGAAGCUCUUGAUCGAAGCCCCGGUAAACGGCGGCCGUAACUAUAACGGUCCUAAGGUAGCGAAAUUCCUUGUCGGGUAAGUUCCGACCUGCACGAAUGGCGUAAUGAUGGCCAGGCUGUCUCCACCCGAGACUCAGUGAAAUUGAACUCGCUGUGAAGAUGCAGUGUACCCGCGGCAAGACGGAAAGACCCCGUGAACCUUUACUAUAGCUUGACACUGAACAUUGAGCCUUGAUGUGUAGGAUAGGUGGGAGGCUUUGAAGUGUGGACGCCAGUCUGCAUGGAGCCGACCUUGAAAUACCACCCUUUAAUGUUUGAUGUUCUAACGUUGGCCCGUAAUCCGGGUUGCGGACAGUGUCUGGUGGGUAGUUUGACUGGGGCGGUCUCCUCCUAAAGAGUAACGGAGGAGCACGAAGGUUGGCUAAUCCUGGUCGGACAUCAGGAGGUUAGUGCAAUGGCAUAAGCCAGCUUGACUGCGAGCGUGACGGCGCGAGCAGGUGCGAAAGCAGGUCAUAGUGAUCCGGUGGUUCUGAAUGGAAGGGCCAUCGCUCAACGGAUAAAAGGUACUCCGGGGAUAACAGGCUGAUACCGCCCAAGAGUUCAUAUCGACGGCGGUGUUUGGCACCUCGAUGUCGGCUCAUCACAUCCUGGGGCUGAAGUAGGUCCCAAGGGUAUGGCUGUUCGCCAUUUAAAGUGGUACGCGAGCUGGGUUUAGAACGUCGUGAGACAGUUCGGUCCCUAUCUGCCGUGGGCGCUGGAGAACUGAGGGGGGCUGCUCCUAGUACGAGAGGACCGGAGUGGACGCAUCACUGGUGUUCGGGUUGUCAUGCCAAUGGCACUGCCCGGUAGCUAAAUGCGGAAGAGAUAAGUGCUGAAAGCAUCUAAGCACGAAACUUGCCCCGAGAUGAGUUCUCCCUGACUCCUUGAGAGUCCUGAAGGAACGUUGAAGACGACGACGUUGAUAGGCCGGGUGUGUAAGCGCAGCGAUGCGUUGAGCUAACCGGUACUAAUGAACCGUGAGGCUUAACCUUACAACGCCGAAG
rnacentral:rRNA from 1 species